UGGGGAAUUUUGGACAAUGGGGGAAACCCUGAUCCAGCCAUCCCGCGUGUGCGAUGAAGGCCUUCGGGUUGUAAAGCACUUUUGGCAGGAAAGAAACGUCAUGGGUUAAUACCCCGUGAAACUGACGGUACCUGCAGAAUAAGCACCGGCUAACUACGUGCCAGCAGCCGCGGUAAUACGUAGGGUGCAAGCGUUAAUCGGAAUUACUGGGCGUAAAGCGUGCGCAGGCGGUUCGGAAAGAAAGAUGUGAAAUCCCAGAGCUCAACUUUGGAACUGCAUUUUUAACUACCGGGCUAGAGUGUGUCAGAGGGAGGUGGAAUUCCGCGUGUAGCAGUGAAAUGCGUAGAUAUGCGGAGGAACACCGAUGGCGAAGGCAGCCUCCUGGGAUAACACUGACGCUCAUGCACGAAAGAGUGGGGAGCAAACAGG
rnacentral:rRNA from 1 species